ensembl:snRNA U6 U6 spliceosomal RNA
GUGCUUGAUUUGGCAGCACAUACACUAAAAACUGGAACAACACAGAGAAGAUUAGCAUGGCUCCUAUGCAAGGAUGACACCCAAAUUUGCAAAGUGUUCCAUAUUUUU